rnacentral:snoRNA from 1 species
UGGUCAUGACCAAGGCUUUUAGAAUGUAGUUUCUCAUUGGCCGUGGACAUGGCCACAAAACAUUUCCCCAAUAGGUUUUUUUCUUCUAUGUUGGUACCAUAGCAUUCAGCCUACUGGGAACAUUA